CUUAAACUCAGAUUGUCAGGCUUGGCCACAGUUACCUUGCAUCUUGUCACCUAGUUUUGUUCUUUAUUAUCUGUUUAAGGCCCAAGGUCACGCUGAAUAACAACUGCACUCUCACCUUAUGGCGGUUGCCAGGAGGAACAAAUGUUUGCAUUUCCUGCUAUGGGGUUCAUCAGGUUGCUAUCAGCAGGGACAAUUAUUUGGUCAAUGCCACCACCUGGUGGACACCUGGAGCAAGGUUUUUUUUUUUUUUUUUUUUUGGCAGCGGGAAUGUAAUCAGUGGAGGAAGAAGGAACUGAAGUGUGUGUGUAUGUGUGUGUGUGUGUGUGUGUGUGUGUGUGUGUGUAUGCACCUACUGAGAUUUUUGUUGUGAACAAGCAGGUUAAGCUCUUGUGUGGAGCGCAACUGUACCAUGGGAAGUGAGAAAGGCCCACGUGGGAGGAGGAAGAAGCUGGAUUGGUCUAGGGCCUGGCAUCUAUCUGCCGUCCCCCAUUCUGGCUUGAGCCAGGAGGAACCAGUUCCCAGGAAGGUAGAGGUAGAGAGAAGGUCACUGCUGACGUCAAGGACUUUCAGAAGCCAGAAGAGGGCAUUGGAUUCCCUGUAACCGGAGUCUCACGGGCAAUUGGGAGCUUCCUGACGUGGAUGCUGGGAACUGAACCAUCUCUUGAGCUCACUUUCUGCACCUGACUGUGGCUGUGACCAGCUGCUUCAAGUCCUGACUUCUCCACAAUGAUGGACUAUCACCUGGAACUGUAAGCCAAAUAAACCCUUUCC